CCUACGGGAGGCUGCAGUGGGGAAUAUUGGACAAUGGGGGGAACCCUGAUCCAGCCAUGCCGCGUGUGUGAAGAAGGCCCUCGGGUUGUAAAGCACUUUCAGUGAGGAAGAACGCCUGGUGGUUAAUACCCAUCAGGAAAGACAUCACUCACAGAAGAAGCACCGGCUAACUCCGUGCCAGCAGCCGCGGUAAUACGUAGGGUGCGAGCGUUAAUCGGAAUUACUGGGCGUAAAGCGCGCGUAGGUGGCUUGAUAAGCCGGUUGUGAAAGCCCCGGGCUCAACCUGGGAACGGCAUCCGGAACUGUCAAGCUAGAGUGCAGGAGAGGAAGGUAGAAUUCCCGGUGUAGCGGUGAAAUGCGUAGAGAUCGGGAGGAAUACCAGUGGCGAAGGCGGCCUUCUGGACUGACACUGACACUGAGGUGCGAAAGCGUGGGUAGCAAACAGGAUUAGAUACCCCAGUAGUC
rnacentral:rRNA from 1 species